AAAGAAGAAAGACUGGGAUUCAGCUAGUCUUUCGAUUUUGCUUGUAUUUUAUCACUUGGUCUGGGAAGUAGCUCUUUUUAUGAUUGACACAAAGAGAACCAACCCCCAGGAGGUUAAAUGGUGGUCCGAUGGCAUGGUAACCGGGGCUUUUAUGCCAGUUCUCCCCUGCGGGACCGAGGCCCGGAGGAAAGGAGCUCUGCAGAACCCUUCCUCCGAUUCCCACCUCACAGGACCCAGCUCGGCGCAGGCGCUCCAUCGUGUUGGCUCGGUGCGUGACUGCAGGGCCUUGGAUGAUGCCUGCACUCUCUGCACCUGGGUGCGAGGUAAGAGGCUUUAACCGUCCCAGUGGCACCCUCUCGGUGAAUUCCCUUCUGACGCCUGCACGCGCUGUGCCAACAGGAAAAGAGGGCACCCAUCCCCUCCCGCCCCCUUAUUUCCCUAAGCAGAUGGCAUUCGUUCCCAUUGCUGCUGUGCCAAAGCAGCACAAACACCGUGACUAAAAGCCACACGAAGUUAUUCUCUGGUCCCCCUGGAGGUGAAGAGUCAGGGACCUGUUUCACGGGGCCGACGCUGAGGUGUCAGGAGGUGUCUGUGGAUGGCGCCUGCCUGCAGGACCGUCACAGGCUGGCAUUCCAAAGAACUCUGAAUCUAACCUCAGAAAAAGCCUUAGAAGAUGAGUCAGUCCUCAGCGACAUUCUCCUGGGGGCCUGGAGGAGAAAGUCACGCAGCACGUUAACCAGCAAAGCUAAUAAAGGACCCUGGAGACACCGCUCCCUCUCUGCAGGCCCUGCGCUCAGCCUCUCCGCUGGCCUGCCCAACCCUGGCCUGCCCGACGCUGCCCCGGCGGCCAAAUCCGUAAUUGUUCCCAGGGAAACGCUCGAGCAUCAGGAUUUAAUUUCGAUGCUACCCGCUCUCAGCAAAUCAGCAGGCUGUCGCUGAUGGGGGGAGGGAGGGAAGCUCUAUCCACUUCCUAAAUGCUUGGGUGUGUUCCUGGAUCUGUCUGCCACAGCAGGGCCCGGGAGGCAUCCGUGUCCAACCCCCCGCGGUCCCAUCUGGAGCACUUGUAGGACCAGCCCUCUGUCGCAAGAAGCAGUGGACGGGGAACUGUUCCAGGUCGAGGCUGACUCUGCAGAGGCCUCUGGUGAGGGGCGAGUCCUGCCUGGCAGCCCACCUGGCCUGGAGUUCUCGGGGCCAUCCCAGCUCCCCAGCAUCUCCUCAAAGGCCUUCCUUCUUCCUCCUCCCGAAUGAACAUCAUCAACCAAAAGCAUGAGCCUGGGUGAGAUCUCACUUGGUUCAGUAACUCUCGGCCAUCCGGUCCUGUUGCUCUGACGUGAUCCAGCCCUUUCUGAUUCGCUAAGCUGCGCUUGAAGGCUCUUAGCUGUGUGUGCAAGUCACCCCGCGUGUCUAAUAAUGACAGGAGUUGCAAUGUAGGCGUGUUUCCCGCUUUGUCGCACCUGAUCCUCACACCAACCCUGUGAACGUAUGUAAGGAGCGUGUAAAUCAUCACCGGAUUCUAACAGCAAGUAAGAAGCUAAACAAACUGAAAAUUCAACAACCCUCCCCAGAUUCAGCAGGAAAGCGGAGGUCACAGGGCAAAGUGCUGCCCUGGACAUCGGAGAAACAGACGCACAGACAGAGUCACAACUCACCGGAGCACAGAGACCUCCGUGGGAACCAGCAGCAGCGGAGGGAAACCCGGACUCUAGUGGACAGGUUGCUGGGGCUCAGCGCGGGCGAGUCUGAGUGCCAGGGGAUCCGAGUGCUUUUCCUGAGUUUUGGCUCCAGCAGCUCUCACCUAGAUUCUCAUAAGGAAAAUGCCCUCAUGCUGCCAGCAGGGGGAGGCGGAAGUGACGGUGUGAAAUAGGCCAGAGGGUCUGCUCUUCACCAGGCCUGCGUUCAGGAGAAGCUGUCUUCCCAGAGCCUACGCUGUUGGGGUUCAAGCAGAGCUUCGUCCACCUGGGGAAGGGGAACAGCCAACCCCAGCCCACUCGAGCCAUCUCGCCCCACCUACGGGAGAGACAACGGAGAGGCACUCGUGGAGGUCACAGCCCAGGGACACAGACUCGCUAGGAGACGGAGACCUGAUCAUAGGCCUGUGGAGCACUCCCCUCCCCCCCCACACCUCACCACCACCCCAGUAACGGCCUGCUUACCAGGGUUCCUUUCCCCCCAUAUACCAUGUCUGGCUUUCACCAACAAUAACAAAAGCUUACAAGGCAUACCAAAGGCAAAAAUUACGGUCUGAAGAGACAGAACCAGACUCAUGUAUGGCAGGGCAUGUUGGAAUUCUCAGACCAGGAAUUUAAAACAACUGUGAUUAAUAUGCUAAGGGUGCUAAUGAAUAAAGUAGACAACAUGCAAGAACAGAUGGGUAACAUAAACAAAGAUAUGGAAAGUCUAAGAAGGAAUGUUUUAAAUGCUACCGGUCAAAUGCACAGUAACAGGCAUGCUCUUGAUGGCUUUAUUAGUAGACUGGACAUGGCUGAGGAAAAAAAUCUCUGAGAUUGAGACUAUGUCAAUAGAAAUUUCCAACAUUAAAAAUCAAAGAAAAAAAAAAGACUGGGGGUGGGGAGAAGAACAGAAUACCCAAGAACUGUGGGACAACUUUAAAAGGGCUAUAUUUGCAUAAUGUAUGGAAUACCAAAUGAAGAAAAAGAGAAAAGAACAGAAGAAAUAUUUGAAGCAGUCAUGACUGAGAACUUCCCCCAAAUCAAUGUCAGAUGCCAAAUCAAACCACUGAUCUAGGAAGCUCAGAGAACACCAAGGAGGGUUAAUGCCCAAAAACCCACACCUAAGCAUAUCAUAUCCAAACUGCAUAAAAAUCAAAGAUGCAAAAAUCUUGCAAGAAGCCAGAGGAAAAAACACCCUGUCUAUAGAGGAUUAAAGGUAGGAAUUAAUUUGACUUCUCAGAAACCAUGCAAGCAAGAAGACAGUGGAGUGAAAUAUUUGAAGUGUGGAGAGAAAAACCCACCUCGAGUUCUGUACCUUGUGAAAUGAUCCUUCAAAAGCGAAGAAGAAAAAAAGACUUUCUCAGACAAACAAAAAUUGAGGAUAUUUGUUGCAAGUAGAUCUGACUUGCAAGAAAUGUUAAAAGAAGUUCUUCAGAGAGAAGUCAAAUCUACAUUUUAAAAAAGGGAGCGCAUUGGAGAAGGAAUAAGUAAAGCCACACCCUAGAACAAGACAAGAUCUACCAACCAGGUGAGCUACGGCUUCUGUGCACUUCAGAACGAUGUCAAUCUCUAGGGGGUUGGGGCGUUUCUGCUGCCUUUUCCUCCAGAAAGCUAAAAGGCAGCUGUCCCCCCUAAUCCGUGGUUUCGCUUUCCGUGGUUUCAGUUGGCUGCCGUCAACUGUGGUCCAAAAACAUUAAGGACAAUUCCAGAAAUGAAGUUUUACAUUGCGUGCUGUUCCGAGUAACGUGAUGAAAUCUCCCGCCCUCCGGCUCCGUCCUGCUGAGCGCGUGAUUCAUCCCUUUGUCCGGCGUGUCUGCGCCGUCUGUGCUACCGGCCGUUAGUCACUCAGUAGCUGUCUCCACUAUCAGAUCGACUGUCACAGUAUCGCUGAGCUUGUUCCCAAGUCACCCUUAUUUUCCUUAAAAAUGGUCCCAAAGGGUAGGAGUAGUGAUGCUGGCUCGGAAUGUGCCAGAUUAAAAGUAGAACUGGGCCCUAGCCAGUUUGGCUCAGUGGAUAGAGCGGCGGCAGGCA